GUAUCUGCCCUUCAUCACUAAUACUGCUCCUUACAUUUUGAAGAAUUAUAAAAACAGACAAAGUUUUGUAUCUACGUAUUGUUUAAAGGCAUUAACGUCAACAAGCACAGAAGAAGGCUGAACAAUGCAAAAAGAGGACUACUUCUAAGGAUCCUGCAGUUUAAAUGAAAUAUAUUUAUUUAAUUUCAAUGCCAGGAAUUAAGCUUGGUUUAUCAGUAAGACCAGAUCACAAUAGCUGCAUUCACUCCUACUCAAUGUCAGAAUUGAGAGAGGGAAACAAGCAAAAAAGAAUGGGAAAAAGAUGUGUACAUGUGUGCAUACUCAGCAUAUGUUCUGAAAGACACUGCAUUAGAGAUGGACCUAAAACAGGAGAUGAACUCUUUUCCUUCUUUCUUUUUUUUUUUUUAAAAAAAAAACUUGUAAUUUAAACCUAGAUCACAAUAGGAAUUUUAUGUCUGACUUUUCUACGCUAAUGACUGAUAUGAAAAUGCAGACGUGUCAUUGCAGAGAACAAAACUAAAAUCUGCCUUCAAAAAAAAAAAAAGCACCCAAAUUCCCCCCCAGCUAAAGAGCUGUCUGGUGUGCCUGAACAGUAAUGUAAGCAUUCGGCCUGAGUGAACCAAGCCAGCAUGCCUACAAAAGACAAUAUAUGUUUAUUA